UACGAACGCUGGCGGCGUGCUUAACACAUGCAAGUCGAACGGAAAGGCCCUGCUUUUGUGGGGUGCUCGAGUGGCGAACGGGUGAGUAACACGUGAGUAACCUGCCCUUGACUUUGGGAUAACUUCAGGAAACUGGGGCUAAUACCGGAUAGGAGCUCCUGCUGCAUGGUGGGGGUUGGAAAGUUUCGGCGGUUGGGGAUGGACUCGCGGCUUAUCAGCUUGUUGGUGAGGUAGUGGCUUACCAAGGCUUUGACGGGUAGCCGGCCUGAGAGGGUGACCGGCCACAUUGGGACUGAGAUACGGCCCAGACUCCUACGGGAGGCAGCAGUGGGGAAUAUUGCACAAUGGGCGGAAGCCUGAUGCAGCAACGCCGCGUGCGGGAUGACGGCCUUCGGGUUGUAAACCGCUUUCGCCUGUGACGAAGCGUGAGUGACGGUAAUGGGUAAAGAAGCACCGGCUAACUACGUG
rnacentral:rRNA from 1 species